rnacentral:rRNA from 1 species
GAUGAACGCUAGCGAUAGGCUUAACACAUGCAAGUCGAGGGGCAGCAUGGUCUUAGCUUGCUAAGACUGAUGGCGACCGGCGCACGGGUGCGUAACGCGUAUGCAACUUGCCUCACAGAGGGGGAUAACCCGUCGAAAGACGGACUAAUACCGCGUACACCUGGGAUAGGGCAUCCUGACCCAAGGAAAUGAAAUUCGCUGUGAGAUAGGCAUGCGUCCCAUUGGCUGGUUGGUGAGGUAACGGCUCACCAAGGCGACGAUGGGUAGGGGAACUGAGAGGUUGAACCCCUAGACUGGUACUGAGACACGGACCAGACUGCUACGGGAGGCAGCAGUGAGGAAUAUUGGUCAAUGGGCGAGGGCCUGAACCAGCCAAGUCGCGUGAAGGAUGACUGUCUUAUGGAUUGUAAACUUCUUUUAUACGGGAAUAACAAGAGCCACGUGUGGCUCCCUGCAUGUACCGUAUGAAUAAGCAUCGGCUAACUCCGUG